GGAGCAAACAGGAUUAGAUACCCUGGUAGUCCAUGCCGUAAACGAUGAGUGCUAAGUGUUGGGCGGUUUCCGCCUCUCAGUGCUGCAGCUAACGCAUUAAGCACUCCGCCUGGGGAGUACGACCGCAAGGUUGAAACUCAAAGGAAUUGACGGGGGCCCGCACAAGCGGUGGAGCAUGUGGUUUAAUUCGAAGCAACGCGAAGAACCUUACCAGGUCUUGACAUCCUCUGACAACCCUAGAGAUAGGGCUUCUCCUUCGGGAGCAGAGUG
rnacentral:rRNA from 1 species